AAUCCAUAUUAAUUUGAUUUAAAAAAGAAAACAAAAAGGAUUUCUACUAGUAAUAAAAAUAAAAUUCAGUAAUUUGAUUGAUAAAUUAAAUUAAUAGGGAUCUCAAUUGAAUCUAUCCCAAAUUAAUGGCUUAAUUUUAGGUAGACAAUCAAUUAUUGCUUAGAGAGUCUAAUCUAGUAAUGGUGGCCCUCUUAACCAACUUGAGUUCCGUCAUUCGAAAUAAUAAAUAAUUAACUAGAACCCAAAUUAACUUAUAUCUAUAUAUUCUCAAAAGCCAAGCUUAAAACAUUUUCCUCCAUUAGCAUCUUUAGACUUUAGUAAAUUGCAAAAGAGAAAAAAAGGUACAAUUUCAAGAAUAAAGUUCAUAAACUUGAGUAUCACAACAGUUGAUAUCUUAAUAACGACAAAUCAAUGACCCUUAGUUCACAAAUUAACUCAAAACAAGUUUCUACACAUAAUAGAACUAACAAUAAAUUUAAUCACAAACACUUCUCCCCUUUGGAAAUAUGUUAGGAAACGGGUGAUAUUAACACAAAGAGGAAAUGAGCUUUAAAACAAAUAAGAUUGACCGUGAGAUAUCAACAACACACAAACUACAAAGACUUAGUAGACAAAGGCAUUGACCAUAAAUAUCAUCUACCCCUCAUCUUCAAGCUGGAGAGUGAUGAGAUUGAAAACAAACAGAUUUCAAAUAAUCAUAUUAGAGUCUAGAACAAACAGAUUAUUACACCCAACAUUUUGACCCAACGACUAAAAGCAUAUGUACGCAUAAAAACAUUCUUACGACUUUAGCACCACUGUAUAUCUAAUUUUUUAAGAACCAGUAACACCUAUUUUAGCAAGAAACUCACCUUAAAACAUCAUUUUUGAAGUAGUAAACUAACAAAUCAAAAUGGGCACUUAAUUUUCUAUACAAGUUUAAAAGGAAUAGUGGUUAAGCUUUAACCACACCAUAAGAGUGACCAAGAAUGGAGAAAUCGUGGUUACAAACAAUGGAGGCUGAAAUGAGAUUAGGACUGGCCGUGUGUAGAUGGUCACUCUCUAUCUAUUGCAGGCGAACAUGGGUGUUGGUGCGUUUAAUCCUGUCGGCUAAGAGAGAAUGGGUAUCCGAUGCAGAACAGGCCUAAACCAAAGUGUUACUUCAAAACGCAAUUCGGAUGAAGCUUGAUGAGGCACUAGCACUGCUUUGUUCAGUACGAAAAUGGGCUCAUUGGAUGGGUUUGCUCCGCGUGAUAACGCCAACAGUAAAGAGAAGGGACUAGGUUUCAACUCUGAUUUACAAGAGGAGAGUGGUUGUGGCUUGUGUGUUUCGAAAGAGAAGGAAAAAAGACAGGUAGAGUGGGGUUGGGCAGAAGAGAAAAGGCAUAGGUGAGAACAAAAGGGACCUGAACCAUGUCGGAGAGGAGAAACUCUAGAUAUAUAUUUUAGUUUUUGCUUUCUCCAAAACCUGCCCCAUAAUUCCCUUCUCUCCUCCCUUUAUGCACAGUAGAAGAUGGGUAUUUAAAGAGUAAUAAAAACCCUAAAAUGAAGAGUCUAGAUUUAAAGAAAGAAAAUGGAGGGUUGAAAUUAAGUUAGAACUAAUUUUGUUUUUCUACCUUUAAAGUUAAAGUAAAAUCAAGGGUGGGGAUUAAUUGAAACUAUUUUGCUCUUUUAAAAAAAAAAUUCUAAA
rnacentral:misc_RNA from 1 species